GAGAGACUAGCUGGGGAAGAGGAUAGCUGAAGCUGUGCUGAGAAGGACUGCUUCUGAAUGGGGCUGCUACCAGGAUGACUGGCAGAAGAAUUCUGACUGAGUGAGCUGCUACUGAGGGCAGAGGAGCCACUAGUUAAUGAGCACCCAGGAAAGACUGGAAAAGGGAAGAAACUUUGGUUUCGGCCACACCUGAGAUCCUGACGCACCCCCAUCUUCUGUCCAGAUGACAGCAUCACCACCCCUCUUCUGAGGCAGAGUGAGCACCUGGGUCUCCACUGCACAGUGGACUACUUUGCUGAAAGCAGACUGAUUUUGUGGAGACCUGGCUGACUAAGUGUAUAUACCUGUUAUAAAUUGCCUGAGUGUUAAGUUGAUAACAUAAUUGCUUUUGUUAUAUGAUCAGUAUUUGCUUUAUCUGCUGGUAAAGAUUAUUAUUGUGCUCAUUGAAAGUGUUUUGUUUGUUAUUUAUGAGAUGUCAAAUUUGUCACUCUCUCAGUUAUUAUUGUAAAUAAUAAAUUACUGUGAAUAGUUAUUUAGUGUGUGGUCCGGUGCAGGGAGGACCAUGGGAGAGCACUCCAAUGAGUGGUGUUCCCAGCCUGUAGACAGAAUGGAAGUAGACCAAGACCUAUUGGCACCCCAGGAUCCCAAAAAUUUGGAUGUGGCUGCGGGUAGUGCCGCCACCAGGUUUACACAUGCUUCUUCAACUAAUACAUAUUUGUGGUGUUGGUUGUUUAUUUUAUUAAAUUAGAUUUCAGCUAAUUGAAAGAAUUGCAAGAAUAUUUUAUAUACCUUACCUAAAGGCAGACCUCCAUUGUCAAAGACAUCAUCACAAAACCCCCACUGAUUUUUAAAGAGGUUAUUUUAUAAUAUCUACCUUCCUUUAACUUCUUUUAAUAAAGAUGAUGACCUUUAUUCUCUGUUUUGGAAGAUGCAUAAGGAUAGAUUGAUUACUAUGAAAUAUUUUGUCAGAGAUUAGAACACUAAGUUAUGGAAGUGGGUUUUCCUUUACCUUUGCCAAAAACCCAAACAAACCAAAAAAAUCCUUCUUUAAAAAAAAAAAAAUACUAUGAGAUGAUAGAGAAUUUUAACUAAAAGCCUUCAACCUUUAAAAAAAAAGCACUAGGAAAAAAUGUUCUACAGAAAAUGUUGGUUAAUUUGCUCUAGCUCAAAGUUCCUCUUAGCAGUUUAAACCUUUGUUUAUUCCUUAAAUAUUUGAAGAUAGUACUACACUACUUUCUUUUGAGAGAAAUUGUUGAAAAUAUUGUAAUUAAAUAAAUGCUUCUAAUUAAUAACUUCCUGAUAUAACUUCUAUGUAAAUGGAAUCCAAAGACUUUGCCACAGUGAUUGCUAGCGUAGGAAUUAAUUUCAAUGUAGAAAAUGUAAUGUGUACUAUUUGGACAAACAAUUGAUUAUCUGCAAAUGUUCACAACUUCCUUAUCAAGCUCAGAAAGAUUAGAGCCAAAUAUGUGAAAACUUCUUCAGAAGAAACAAUGGAUUUUUGAAUGGCUAUUUUAAAUUUAAAGAUGCUUUAAGAAUUGUAGUAAAAAUACUAAGACCUGAAACAAUGUAGAAAAUAAUGCUUGACUGCAUUUCAAACAGAAUUUCAAGUCCUAAAGCCUCUUAAAAUAUACGAGUUAAAAUUGUAACUUCAAAGGUGUUCUGAUGAAAACUUCACUCUACAAAAACAAAGGCAGCUUAAAACUAUCAAACUGAAGAAAUAAUAUGACUUUAGGCAAAUCUACUAUAUAUACAAUAUUCAUGAACUAAUAUUGCUAACAAGAUGACCUGUAAAGGUGCAGUGCCAGUGAAAGCAUGACAGCUGGUAAUCUGAAUUCAGCCAAACCAGGGUUGUAUUUUCACAUGGCAUAAAAUUAUAGUAUUUAUAAAUAUCCCAUGAUUUGAACAAAUAUCUUUUUGCACCCUUAUCAAUAUUAUGGAACUCAGCCUCUCAUUUCUCCUUGGCUUAUUUCUAAUAAAAAGGUAGCUAAAAAAACACCCAAAGAGCAUCAUCAGGAAGCAGCUGCCUUCCAGCUCAGGUGACAAUGUUGCCAGGACUUCAAGUUGGUGCCACGAAGUUGUAGAGCACUACCAAAAUAUGAGAUUUGAAUUUGUCUUGUAAUGGUUUAAAUAGGAUGUUAAUAUCCUACAGUAACAAGUCAUUGACUGUUUUGCUCCUUAAGUGUUAGCAUUUUUAGUUCUGUACUUUUGAAGAGGACACAUGGGCUAAUCUUGGUAAAACAGGGAAAAAAUGAAUUUAGUUAGCAUACAAGAUUGUAUUCUAAAUUGUUUUGCUUGUCUCAAGAUUGCUAUCUGAAUGGCCUCAUGUAAUUGGCUUAAGUUCUCAUUUAUGAACAGCUGGGCUUAUUUCAAGGUACCAAAUGGGUACGCAAACCCUCAAAGAAAUAUUCCUCUCAUAUGACAGCUUUUGUUAUCUAUGAUAUCCUGAUUUACUAUCAUUUUUUUUCAAUAAAGUACUUUUCUUCCAAAAUA